AGGAAACAAAGCAUGAUCCCUGGCUUAGCAUUUCCACCCGAAAUGAGGAUUGGGCUUUGUUUUGUACCCAACAAACCAUGAACUCUAGCCAAUGUUUGCUCUUGGCUUACUGAUCAGGGUUUGUUGGGUGCAAAACAAUCCACUAUCUCUGUUUUGGGUGUAAAUGCUAAGUCCACGGAUCAUGUUUUGUUUCCU